GUGGGGAAUAUUGGACAAUGGGCGCAAGCCUGAUCCAGCCAUACCGCGUGGGUGAAGAAGGCCUUCGGGUUGUAAAGCCCUUUUGUUGUGAAAGAAAUCCUGUCGGUUAAUACCUGGCGGGGAUGACGGUACCCAAAGAAUAAGCACCGGCUAACUUCGUGCCAGCAGCCGCGGUAAUACGAAGGGUGCAAGCGUUACUCGGAAUUACUGGGCGUAAAGCGUGCGUAGGUGGUGGUUUAAGUCCGUUGUGAAAGCCCUGGGCUCAACCUGGGAAUUGCAGUGGAGACUGGAUCACUAGAGUGUGGUAGAGGGAUGCGGAAUUUCUGGUGUAGCAGUGAAAUGCGUAGAGAUCAGAAGGAACAUCCGUGGCGAAGGCGGCAUCCUGGGCCAACACUGACACUGAGGCACGAAAGCGUGGGGAGCAAACAGGAUUAGAAACCCCGGUAGUCC
rnacentral:rRNA from 1 species